rnacentral:misc_RNA from 1 species
GAUGAAGAACGUAGCGAAAUGCGAUAAGUAAUGUGAAUUGCAGAAUUCAGUGAAUCAUCGAAUCUUUGAACGCACAUUGCGCCCGCCAGUAUUCUGGCGGGCAUGCCUGUUCGAGCGUCAUUUCAACCAUCAAGCCCCAGGCUUGUGUUGGGGACCUGCGGCUGCCGCAGGCCCUGAAAACCAGUGGCGGGCUCGCUGUCACACCGGGCGUAGUAGAAUUUAUCUCGCUCAGGGCGUGCUGCGGGUUCCGGCCGUUAAAAAGCCUUUUUUACCCAAGGUUGACCUCGGAUCAGGUAGGAAGACCCGCUGAACUUAAGCAUAUCAAUAAGCGGAGGA